rnacentral:rRNA from 1 species
UGAGGAAUAUUGGUCAAUGGGCGAGAGCCUGAACCAGCCAAGUAGCGUGCAGGAUGACGGCCCUAUGGGUUGUAAACUGCUUUUAUGUGGGGAUAAAGUGCGUGACGUGUCAUGCAUUGCAGGUACCACAUGAGUAAGGACCGGCUAAUUCCGUGCCAGCAGCCGCGGUAAUACGGAAGGUCCGGGCGUUAUCCGGAUUUAUUGGGUUUAAAGGGAGCGUAGGCUGUCUAUUAAGCGUGUUGUGAAAUUUACCGGCUCAACCGGUGGCUUGCAGCGCGAACUGGUCGACUUGAGUAUGCAGGAAGUAGGCGGAAUUCAUGGUGUAGCGGUGAAAUGCUUAGAUAUCAUGACGAACUCCGAUUGCGCAGGCAGCUUACUGUAGCAUAACUGACGCUGAUGCUCGAAAGUGCGGGUAUCAAACAGG